rnacentral:rRNA from 1 species
GCACAUAAGACAUAGCAAGUCGAACGGAAGUCGUUAUAAUUGAGUUGAGUGAAAGAUUAUCCGGAACGAUAAUGAUUUAUAACAAUGGCUUAGUGGCGGACUGGUGAGUAACGCGUAAGCAAUCUGCCUAUCAGAGGGGAAUAACAGUGAGAAAUCAUUGCUAAUACCGCAUAUGCCAUGAGUAUCGCAUGAUACAAUUGGGAAAAGGAGUAAUCCGCUGAUAGAUGAGCUUGCGUCUGAUUAACUUGUUGGUGGGGUAACGGCCUACCCAAGGUGACGAUCAGUAGCCGGACUGAGAGGUUGAACGGCCACAUUGGGACUGAGAUACGGCCCAGACUCCUACGGGAGGCAGCAGUCGGGAAUACUGCGCAAUGGAGGAAAAACCUCUGACGCAGUGACGCCGCGUAUAGGAUGAAGGUUUUCGGAUUGUAAACUAUUGUCGUUAGGGAAGAAUAAAAGACAGUACCUAAGGAGGAAGCUCCGGCUAACUACGUGCCAGCCGCCGC